UACGUAGGGUGCGAGCGUUGUCCGGAAUUACUGGGCGUAAAGAGCUCGUAGGCGGCUUGUCGCGUCGUCCGUGAAAACCUGCGGCUCAACUGCAGGCUGGCGGUCGAUACGGGCAGGCUGGAGUUCGGUAGGGGAGACUGGAAUUCCUGGUGUAGCGGUGAAAUGCGCAGAUAUCAGGAGGAACACCGGUGGUGUAAACGGCUUUCUGGACCGUAACUGACGCUGAGGCACGAAAGCGUGGGUAGCAAACAGG
rnacentral:rRNA from 1 species